CAACCCUCAAGCAUUGCUUGGCAUUGGGCUCCGCUGCUCACCCAGCGGGCCUUAAAAUCAGUGGCGGUGCCGUCGGGCCCUGAGCGUAGUAAAUCUCCUCGCUACAGGGACCCCGGUGGACGCUGGCCAUCAACCCCCCACUUUCUAA
rnacentral:misc_RNA from 1 species